AUUGAACGCUAGCGGGAUGCUUUACACAUGCAAGUCGAACGGCAGCGCGGACUUCGGUCUGGCGGCGAGUGGCGAACGGGUGAGUAAUGUAUCGGAACGUGCCCAGUAGCGGGGGAUAACUACGCGAAAGCGUAGCUAAUACCGCAUACGCCCUACGGGGGUAAGCAUGGGAUCGUAAGACCUUGCACUAUUGGACCGGCCGAUAUCGGAUUAGCUAGUUGGUGAGGUAACGGCCCACCAAGGCGACGAUCCGUAGCUGGUUUGAGAGGACGACCAGCCACACUGGAACUGAGACACGGCCCAGACUCCUACGGGAGGCAGCAGUGGGGAAUAUUGGACAAUGGGCGCAAGCCUGAUCCAGCCAUACCGCGUGUGUGAUGAAGGCCUUCGGGUUGUAAAGCACUUUUGGUAGGAAAGAAACGCAGCAGGCUAAUACCCCGUGGUACUGACGGUACCUGAAGAAUAAGCACCGGCUAACUACGUG
rnacentral:rRNA from 1 species